UACGAAGGGGGCUAGCGUUGCUCGGAAUCACUGGGCGUAAAGCGCACGUAGGCGGGUCGUUAAGUCAGGGGUGAAAUCCUAGAGCUCAACUCCAGAACUGCCCUUGAUACUGGCGAUCUCGAGUUCGGGAGAGGUGAGUGGAACUGCGAGUGUAGAGGUGAAAUUCGUAGAUAUUCGCAAGAACACCAGUGGCGAAGGCGGCUCACUGGCCCGAUACUGACGCUGAGGUGCGAAAGCGUGGGGAGCAAACAGG
rnacentral:rRNA from 1 species